rnacentral:rRNA from 1 species
GACGAACGCUGGCGGCGUGCCUAAUACAUGCAAGUAGAACGCUGAAGGAGGAGCUUGCUUCUCUGGAUGAGUUGCGAACGGGUGAGUAACGCGUAGGUAACCUGCCUGGUAGCGGGGGAUAACUACUGGAAACGAUAGCUAAUACCGCAUAAUAGUAGAUGUUGCAUGACAUUUCCUUAAAAGGUGCAAUUGCAUCACUACCAGAUGGACCUGCGUUGUAUUAGCUAGUUGGUGGGGUAACGGCUCACCAAGGCGACGAUACAUAGCCGACCUGAGAGGGUGAUCGGCCACACUGGGACUGAGACACGGCCCAGACUCCUACGGGAGGCAGCAGUAGGGAAUCUUCGGCAAUGGACGGAAGUCUGACCGAGCAACGCCGCGUGAGUGAAGAAGGUUUUCGGAUCGUAAAGCUCUGUUGUAAGAGAAGAACGAGUGUGAGAGUGGAAAGUUCACACUGUGACGGUAUCUUACCAGAAAGGGACGGCUAACUACGU